CGGCGUGCUUAACACAUGCAAGUCGAACGAUGAUCCUCAGCUUGCUGGGGGGAUUAGUGGCGAACGGGUGAGUAACACGUGAGUAACCUGCCCUUAACUCUGGGAUAAGCCUGGGAAACUGGGUCUAAUACCGGAUAUGACUCCUCAUCGCAUGGUGGGGGGUGGAAAGCUUUUGUGGUUUUGGAUGGACUCGCGGCCUAUCAGCUUGUUGGUGGGGUAAUGGCCACCAAGGCGACGACGGGUAGCCGGCCUGAGAGGGUGACCGGCCACACUGGGACUGAGACACGGCCCAGACUCCUACGGGAGGCAGCAGUGGGGAAUAUUGCACAAUGGGCGCAAGCUUGAUGCAGCGACGCCGCGUGAGGGAUGACGGCCUUCGGGUUGUAAACCUCUUUCAGUAGGGAAGAAGCGAAAGUGACGGUAC
rnacentral:rRNA from 1 species